UUAUUUGGUUUUGUAAGACGUAAUCAUGAAUUCAUCGAAAAAUUGACAAAUUUGAUAGAAAGUAUAAAACGAGCAUAUAUUUAACCUUUCCGUCCCAGACGUAUUUUGCGUACUCAAAUUUUGAUGUUCACUAAGACCAAGCCCACUCAUGGGCUCCAUCGUGCGUUUUAACGUUAAGUAGAGCCCCGAACAAAGAAGCGAACCGCACCGGUCGCUGCUAAGUAGGGCUCGAAAGCGAAAAGUUUACGUACGGUUCGUAACAGGGCUUAGAAUACAGAGACACGCAAACUACGGUCUCUAUUCGUAGGCUCGUGCGCUCUCUCGCGUUUAGCUCUCUGGGUAGCACAAAGAGGAGACGAAAGAACAUGAGUAUGGAUUUGUUUCCAAUCGUUUAAGUUUGUUAGUUUGUUGUCGGUUGUAUAUAGUUUCUAGUGAAUGAUUUUCUUGUUUCGUAUAGAUAGGAAUUUAUCUUAGUUUUUUUUUUCGUGAAUUUUAACUUAGGCUAAUUCUCCACAAUUUAUUUUAGUUUGUAUCAAAUGUUUAACAUUAAUAUUUUUUCUUGCUUUGAAAUUUGCAACCAAAAAAUAUCAUAUAUCGUUACAUGAAUAACACAACAAAUUGUCUGACAUACAAUUGUGAUAGAGCGACAAAUGUAUUAAUUUUCUCUUAAAAGUAGCUACGAUUGAUCACAAUCGCACCUUUAGUUUUUGAUUUGGCCGAUCGUUUCGAAACUAAUAUUUGAAGAAAUGAAUAGUGAUUCAGUGAGUUUAGCUAUUCAGCCAUUCCAUAGAAUAACGAUAUAGUGCAUCUCCGAUUGUCGUGAAACUUGGUGGGCUUGUAGUUCUUCGGAAAUAAUUAGACCCGUAUUUUUUUAUUUCGUCAUUAGGGUGACCAAUUUUCAUAUAGGGUGGUCCAAAACAUUAAGGUUUUACAAAACUAAAAAUUUUCAAAAAAUCGUAACUUUUGAACCAGUUGACCGAUUUAAAACUUCUUUUUUUUGUUUGAAAGCUAUUGAAUUGUAGUUUUCAGGAAAAAUACGUAAAAGGGACUAAAAUGUAAAGAGUACUAUAAAAUAUGCAAAUAUAUUAGUUUUUUCACGUUUUCAUGGUCUCGGGAACAAAGAGAUACCCUGGUUUUAUAUUAUUAUCAGAAAAUUCAGGAAAUUUGGCGUAACAUAUAAAAAAAUCAGAGAUGUAUGUUUUUUAGUUUUUGAGAUAUGAUUUUUUGAAAAUAAAAGGUCAAAUUUUUCCAUACAAGACACUUUUUUAAAUUUGAUUAUAUUUUGAUUCCUUAUAAUAUUAUGGAUACCAAAACCACCAGGAAUCACUUUAAAAAGCAAUACUAUGCAUAGUUUUAUGAGAAUUUGCAAUUUCAAGCAAUUUUAGAGUAGCUAGUACUAAAAUAUAUGACUCUCUAUAUUCAAAAAAUCAUAUCUCAAAAACAAAACAACAUACAAUUUAGAAAUUGCCACUAGAAUUGCCUUGAAGCCACUUCAAGAACUUGUCAAGCAGGUUUUACAAGAAUUUCUGUUUGCUGGAUUUUCUCCUGAAAUUUCUUGUGGAGUUGCUCCAGAAGGUUUUCGAGAAAUUUCUUGAAGUUUCUUUUAGUUUUUCUAGAAUUCUCUUGGACCACCUCCAAGAACUCCUCUUGAAUUUGCCUUUGGAACUGCCCUGAAGUUACUUCAGGAAUUCCUAAUUAAUCGUUUCCAAGAAUUUCUCCUAGAAUAGCUUCCGGAUUUUUCCAAAAAUUUUCCAGGAGUUUCUCGAAGAUUUUAGUAAAUUCUUUCUAUAAGUCUUUUCUAAAGUUGAUGAAAUAUUUCAUCAUUAAAUUUCUUCAAAAAUUAGAUUUUUAACAAUUGUUUCCGGAAGUUUCUUUAACAUUAUCUUCUAAAGUUGCUGCAUAAGUUGCUUCAAAUUUAUUGUUCAAAUUUUCCUCAGGCGUUCUAGGCAUCUUUUGUGUCUUGAUGCAUUAGGUCCUGGAAUCUUGUUUGCAGUUACUCCUGAAAAUUCUCUUUUUGUUGCUCGAGGAGUUUAUUCUGAAGUUGUUUAAGAAAUUUCUGUUAGAGUGGCACAUUUUUCUAGGAGAUGCUCCUAUAAUUUCCAUGCAGUAUCGCCACAACUUUCUCAUUGAGUUUCUUCAGGUUCAUUUUCUCCAGGAUGAUUUGAGUUUCUCCAUAUAUUUCGCUUUGAGUUGCUUAAAAUUUUUCUCCAAUAAUGUUUCCUGGAGUUUCUCCAAAAAUGUAAAAAGUUUCUUCAAAAGGGCACAGGAGACGCUUUAUGAAUCUCGCCUGAGACUUUUUUCUUUAAGUUCGUUCAGGAGUUUCGCUUGGACAAUUUAAAUUGGAUUCGUAAGUUUUGUUUUGAAAAAUAUGUGAGUCUUAUAAUAGAAAUUUAAACAAACAGUGACAACUAAACAAUAUUGGCAACCAAGUUGAGAUUUGUUGAGAAUUUUGUCAAAUACUUCGUGUUUUGUGUUUUUAUGUUCUUCGGAAUGGUGAAAUGUGAAAUAUUUGCUCAGCGUUGCAUUGACUGCGCUUAAAAACUGCAAUUAAUUUUUAAAUGAUUCAAGAUUACAUUUUUAACAAACUGUCAUUUGAUUCGUACCACAUAUAAAUAACUAUAAGCUGGCUUCGUGACUUAGCUGAAAUGCCGAAAUAUUUCGGAGUUGCGAUUUCGAAUAUUACCAGAACGGAUUGUUCUUUUUGUUUAUUUUUUCAUUUAAUUUGUGUUCAACACUGUGAAAUUUGAUCAGUAUUUUUUUCGGUUUAAUUUCUUAAUAAAUUUAACGAGUAAUUUCAAAUAAUCGUUCAAAAAUUUCGAUUCGUUUUAAAGUACUCCGCGGGCCGCAUCUUAAGGCUUGGAGGGCCGCAUGCGGCCCGCGGGCCGCAGGAUGAGCACCACUGACCUCGAAUGAUGGUAUCUUCGGCAAAGUUGUUGAGUUGCUCAAGGACUGACAGUUGAUGGGCCGUUUGAUUCGAAAUUUCAUUAAUAAACGGCGCUAAAGAGCCGAUAUUUUUUUUAAUCUCAGGACGCUGGUUACUUAGAAAGAUGGUUUCCACGGCAAAACUGUUUGGUAAGUUAGGAGCUUACAGUUUGAUGAUGCAAAAUUUCAUCUCUGUGUUGGUGUGCUCGGCAAUCACACCAACACUCCAAGUAAUUAAAACCCUGAGAUAUAUGGGUGAGAAAUUGUGUUAUUGUUGUGUCUGUUUGUCUCUGAUAUCACAAGAUGUGAUGUCUCUUAGCUUUUUUUUUGAAUCCACUGGUAUGCGUUUGGUUCAUCAAAAUAUUUGAACAGCACCGUGUGCACUGAGUGGUAUUUUUUUCUGAAUGCGCGCAGAAAUUGUGCACUGGGAUUAUGACUUGCAGGCUCUUGUGCUAUAUGAGAUAUACAAAUUGCAUGCCCACUGACGCCACCUAUGAGCAAAACUCAGAGUAAAACGACUUAUCAUUUAUAAGUUCUUGCAACUUAUUUGCAGAAUCUUCAAUUUUACUAAAUAAUCUGAAUCCUGAUGUAAAAAUGAUUCAGAAUUUGUAUGCUCACUAGCGUCAUCUAGUGACAGAGGUUCGAAUCAAACGGUCCAUUAUCUGUAAAUUCUUGACUUACCAAACAUCUUUACUGAAGAUAGUAAAGACGGUAAGAGAGUUAUUAGGAUCCUGGGAUAUUUGAAGUAUAAAAUUUGCAUACUCAGUGGCGCCACCUAUGUGUGGAUUUCCGAAUCAAAUUUUGCAUCAUCUGUAAGACCUAUGAAACAACUUUGCCGAACACACCAUCUUUGGGUCUGUCCAUAAACUACGUAGACUCUUAGGGGGGACGGGGGGUGUCUGGCCAAAGUCUACGCUCCAUACAAAUUUCGAAAAUUGUGUAUGAACAAAAGUCUACGAGGGGGGAGGGGGUUCUGAGAUGACCAAAAAUGAGUCUACGUAGUUUAUGGACAGCGCCUUUCUAUGUGAUCAGGAUCUUGAGAUAUAUGAGAUGUAAAAUUUGUAUGCUCACUAGCGCCACCUAUGUGUGGAGGUUCAAAUCAAACGGUCCAUCAUCUGGAAGUAAUUGACAAAACAACAAGUUUCUCGAAGGCGUCAUUUUUCUAAGUGAUAAGGAUCCAGUGAUAUAUGAGAUACACAAUUUACAUGCUCACUAGCACCACCUAGUGGUGCAAUUUCGAAUCAAUCGGUCCGUUAUCUGUAAGCGCUCGACUUACUGAGAAACUUUCCUAAAGACGUGACGCUUCUACAAGCUCUAGUUCUUCCGAUAAUUUCGUUUGAAAACAUUAUAUUACUAAAUUGUUUUUGCUAAAUAGCGCCAUCUAGUGAGGAAAUUUCGAAUUAACCAAUUCACCACCAGAUGGCGCAUGACUUGCCGAACAAAUUUGCCGAAGACGUGAAUAUUCUAAAACAUCGGAAUCAAAAGAUAUAGAGAAUUCAAUUUGGGGUCCAUACCAACCGGUGCAUUCUAUGCAAUGGUAGUAAUUUCCGAUUGUUUCAUCAAAAUCGGUUAAAAAUUUAAGAAAAUUGAGUCAAAUGAACAUCAACAAAUAAGCACACAAAAUACGUCAGGGGCAUGAAGGCUAAAAUACCAUAAAAUCGUAAAUAGCUUGAAACUGUCAAAAGUUAUCAGCACGCAAAUUUUUCAUCAAUUGCCUGAUCAGACAAUUGAUGAAAAAUUUUAGGGUAUUUUAACAGAUCAGCAUAAGGAGAUAGAUUUUUAGAUACCUUUACUUAAAAUUUCUACUAACAUACAAUCAAAAACAAUUCUCGAGGAUCUAUCUGAAACCCUGAAGAAUUUCUGGCAAUAUUUCUUCCAAAAAUUCUUAUAAAGUAAAUGUCAACAAAGAGCUGUUGUUGACAACUCAACAAAAUACGGAAAAAAAUCUUACUAAAGCUUACUGCAAAAAAUAUAAGCGAUGUUUGUUGGAAUUUAAACACACAUUUUCCGCAGGAGUUUAUUGAGAUCAUAAAUUAUUAUGUGGGAUAAAUUCUACCAGAAUUUCCGAAGAACUGGAAUAACCUGGACGAUUUUUUGGAAAACAAAGUUCUAGCUAAACGAAAAACGAUUGCAAGUGGAGCGUUUGGUAAAAGGCCCUCCUGACCAUGCACUAGACAAUAAUGGAAAUACCAGUAGAUGCAGAGAAGAAACUUUUCUCGUAAAAAGUUUCAUCGCUCUGAACGGGAAUUAAGCUCUGCCCCCCCCCCAUAGCAUGGUGUGAUUAGAACCUUGGUGACCCUAGUCGCACCACAAUGAUUCACGGUAUUGUCGCACUGUCAGCUUGCAGAAAUGUGUCAUCAUUUCCUUUUUAUCAGCUCUUUAUCAGCUACCGUCGAUCGAAAAUCACUAGAAUGACCGUCUAAGAGAAGCUUCAGUAAACAUAUUCUCCAAAGUGAAGUAAUAGUUUUAACCCUCGAGUGAUCGCGCUGUUGUAUUUUGUACAACACGUUGAAAAAAUCUCGCUUUUUCUACUCAGAAUUAGCGUGGUGCCGACAGUGGUGGCCAACCGCGCGAGUUACGGAAGGUUGAGAGUAGUUUUCAGGGUUUUCUCCAUGGAUUUUACAGGCUGUUUCCAAGUUAUUCAAGAUCCAGCUAUUCAACAGAAACGUCCCCCCAAGUAACCAUAAGUUCAAGUCCCGGAAGGUUCCAGUUAAUUUUCGAAUGGAAUUCUCUGGCUGCUUGAAGGUAUCAGUAUGCUCAAUAGCAACUUAAGGCUACAUCAAGUUCCGAGGAGCACCUUAAGCAGCUUCAAGCUGCUUAAGAAGCUCGCACUGAACUAGAUCGGAACUUUGCCCAGAAGUUCCAAAAAACUCAUAGCUGUUUCAGAUGCUUCAUGGAAAAAUGUAGCAUGUUCAGUCGUGGUUUAUAAUUAAAGCAUUGAUCGAUGUUUUGAUGAAUCUGAAAAUUGUGCUUUGUUUCUAAGGGGCUGUCCAUUAAUUACGUAAGGCUUUAUGGGGGGAAGGGCGGUAUGAGAAAUCUUACGCGCCAUACAAAAAUUUUUGGGUUGUCAUACAAAAAAUCUUACAAGGGGGGGAGGGGGUGUCGAAAAAUCGUAAAAAUUCCCUUACGUAAUUAAUGGACAGCCCCUAAUCAACUUUAAGAUAGGUGUGCCAGAAGCUGCGUAGAACGCUAUCUGAAUAUCUUAUGUUUUUUUAUGUUUAUUCCCGAGAUUUUUUCCCCGGAGCUUGUCAGGAGAGAGAGAGUUGAUCCCAGGUCAUCGGCGUGAUCACGUUAUCUAACCAACACACCAGGUCCGCUCCACAAUAUAUCUUAUGUGAACUUCUAUGUUCAGAUACCUUUUUAAAAAUAAAAAUAUUUCAAAACUAUAACAAGCUGCUUAUGUGUGUAGCACUACAGUAACAUCAAUUUCAAUCGAAAAAUGUUGCCAAGCUAAAUUCGAUUUUGGUAAUUAUCUCUCAGCAUCUCUCAUAAAUGACGUUUAAAUUUCUACAAUAAAUACAUAGGUACUAAUUAUAUUUCAUUCGGUUUUCUAAAAACAAAUGUUUUUAAACUGCUAGAAGUGACUUUUAAGAGUUUCACAGAAAAUAGUACGAGACAAUUUUCCAAUGAAUCAUGAGAAAUCGGCAAGAACGAUAACAUACAAGUCUAUUCAGGGUUAAAAACCACUCAUCUUUCUAAAACGCCAUUCCUAUAACCAGGCUUAUAACCAAUAUUGAAAAAUUUAUUCACCAUACGAACAUUGUUUAGGUUUCAACCUUCUCAAAGCUCUCAGACCGCCUUCUUCGAAGGAAAUGAUUUACGAUCUAAUAAAGCCUUCCGUUCUCCCACAUCUGUGGAAGUGGAGUGCAGCCCAUCCAAGCGUUCGCUCAUUGUUCCACUUCCUCUAGUGAGACUGGUGGAUAAUAAAGCCAUAUCGAGCUACUUGUUGGGAAAAUUCUUUGCUACCGUCGUCGACGUGCUUCCGUUGGAGAUCGUUGGCCAACAAACUCGUAUUACGGACCAUCUUUACGGCGUGGAUCAAUAUCAUCACAAACUGAGUCGCCGGCACUGAUAGAUGAACCGACGACCAACAACGCUGCUGCUGAUGAUGCUGUUAAUCCUUCAAGGGUCCUACUUGUCUGGAGUGGGUGACCGGUAAAGCGAGAUUUGCAUCCCGGAUUUGCGCCCAUUCAGUGCAUUAGCCGGCCAAUCGGUGCAACACUACCUAUUUGUGGAUAUGAAAGGAGUCAAUGACCUAAUAUGGGAUUAUGUUCUGAACGAACAAACACAGAGCCCCAUCCCCAUGGGCCCAUCCAUGGGCAGUUGGACAGGACAUUAUUGGAUGGAUGGCUAUCGUGAUGAUGCUGGAAUGAGCUGUGAACGAGUGGGCAGGUAAAAUCGAUAGAGUUGGAGGCUCGUGGGCUCGGUUCUGGUGGAUGGUACUGAAAUAAUCUCAAGAAUGGCAUGAGCUCAAGAUUUACGUAAGGCUUCGUCGUCAUUUAUAUCAGAGGCCUAAUAACCUCGUAUAACCAAUCAGAUGAAAAUCUGAAUUCGAAUGAUUUAACAAUGGUUUUAUGCAAAACCAGCAGAUGCCAUGAGAAGUUGGUUUGAUAUUUACUUAGAGCAUCCCUAUCGUUGUGCUAAUUUUGAUUCAUACAAUGAGCAUCCGAAAAUUGUAAAAAUAUUUGGAUAUUAUUUGCAACUGAAUGCAAAUUUUAAAGAGGCUUGAUCGCUAUGAUUUUUUUUUUUCGUAGGGCUCUAGUCAGUGCUGGUUACUCAAGGUUUCCAAAUUUCAGCGCCCUCUGCACUGGUAUGCCUCCAUGUAAAUGAUUUCGAUAUUGCGCCUUACUAUGUAUUAAGUAUGCCGGGUAAAUCCCUCCAUUAAAUAUUUUUUCAAGAAACUUUUGUAAUUCAGCGAUUUAGUAAUAAUUCUUCAAUAAAUUCGUCCGAGAAUACUUUUAAAGCGUAUUCCUUCCCAUGUACUUCUGCUUCGUCCAGCGGUUUGUUACGACUCAGGAGUACGUUGUGUGAUUUCUUUAGAAUUCUAUCCAGGAUUAUCUCCAGGGACACCGUCAGAAUUUCAUUCAGGGAUUCUUUCGAGAUUUAUAAAAAAAAUCCGAUAUUUGCAUAAAAAUAGGAUUCCCGCAGGAUUUUAUAAAAUGAUUUCAGCCAGUAUUAAUCUGAAGAUUUCUCUAGGUUAAAUGCAUUCCUGUUCAUGUUUUUUUUUCUGAGAAAGUUUCUCCAAAGAUUCCUCCAGAAAUUUUUUCAGGAAUUUCACAAUGAAUUUGUCUUCUUCAAGAAUUUCUCGAGGAAUUUCUAAAAAAUAUUUCCUUUGGAAUUCUCCAGGCGUUAUUCUUGAAAUUUCUCAGGAAAUUCUUCCUGCAUAUCUCCAGGGGCUUCGCUAGGAAUACCUUCAAAAUAAAUUUAAUACGCAUUUCCAAGAGAUUAUUUCUCACAGAGAUUCUUCCUUGCUGGAAUUUUUCGGUAUGACUGCAUAUAUUCAGGUAUUCUCUCAGGCAUUUUUUUUAGCAAUUUCUCAAGAAAAUUCUAAAGAAAUUCUUCUGGAAGUUCUUCCAGGGUUAUUUCUCAAGAAUUUCCUACAUAUGUUUCUCCAGGAAUGGCCUAGGAUUUAUUCUGAUCUUUCUUUAGCGAUUCAUUUAGAAAUUUCAGAUGCCUCAGGUAUUUCUCUCUCAACAAUUCCCACAGAAAUUACUUUCAGAUCUACUACUUGUCAUUUUUCAAGAAAUUUACAGAGUUUCUCCAGGUUUCUCUUUCACGCAUUUAUUCAGGAUUUCAUAAUUUUUUGUCCAGGCAUCCCUCCAGAAAAUUUUCAAAAAUUUCUAGGAAUCUCUAAAGGUAUCACCAGGAGAAUUCCGAAGGAUUUCUUCAGACAAUUAUUUCAAGACUUCUUCCAGUAACUUUUGCGUCAUUUUUGGAAGAACUUCUGAAAUAAUCCCUAGAGGGAUAUCGAAAGGAGUCCCAGAAGAUAUUUCUAAUUUAGAACAAAAAAAAAAUCAGCGUGAAUUUAUGCGAGAACCCCUGGAGGAAAUUCUCAGGUAAGUCUUGGAGGAACCCAUGAAAGAAUUACCAUAGGAAUCUCUCUAUGAUUUUUGGAGACAUUUUUAGAGGAAUUUCUAAAAAGCUGUAUGGAUGAACUUUUGAAGAAAUCCCUUAUUGAAAUUUCUGAAGAAAACUCUGUAACUCCAAAGAAGCUUCAGGAGAUAUUUUUGAAUGAAUCUGUGGAAGGGAUUUUUGAAGAAAUAUCCAGUAGAAUUUCUUUAGAAGUCUUAGGAAGUACUAUUGAAUGAAUGAAUCUACAGAGAAAUAUCUGAAGAAAUCCCUGAAUUGCUCUGGCAUUUCUUCCAUGCAUAAAUCCAAGAAUUUCUCUAUUAAUUCUUUAAAGAAUUCAGAAACAUUUCCUAUGAGUUCCUACAGGAAUUUCUUGAGAAAUAUCUCAAGAACUUUAUUAUGGAUCUUGGAGGAAUUCCAAGAAAAGUUUGUAAAAAUAUUUUAAUGAAAAUUACUAGCAAUUAUUUAAUAAAAAUCGUGGAGGGAUUUUCUGAGAGUACUCCUGAAGCAAUCUGUUGGCGUAUUUGUGAAGGAAAUCCCGUACUAAUACCUGGGGAAACGCCUUGCCAAGCUUCCGUUAAGAUCCAUAAAUAUGUUCUCAAGAUAUUUCUUAAGGAAUUCCUGUAGAAAUUCAUAGGAAAUGUUUCUGAAA